rnacentral:misc_RNA from 1 species
UACAGAGGUCCCAAGCGUUGUUCGGAAUUACUGGGCGUAAAGGGCGCGUAGGCGGUAGUGCAAGUCGCAGGUCAAAUGCCACGGCUUAACCGUGGAAAGCUUGCGGGACUGCACUGCUAGAGGGCUGUAGGGGGGGUUGGAAUUCUCGGUGUAGCAGUGAAAUGCGUAGAUAUCGAGAGGAACAUCAGUGGCGAAGGCGAACCCCUAAGCAGAUCCAGACGCUGAGGCGCGAAAGCCAAGGUAGCAAACGGG